UUUGUACUCCCUCCGUCCCAAAAUUCUUGUCUUAAAUUUGUCUAAAUACGGAUGUAUCUAGUUACAUUUUAGUGUUAGAUACAUAUGUAUCUAAACAAAUGUAAGACAAGAAUUUUGGGACGGAGGGAAUACUAC
rnacentral:pre_miRNA from 1 species